ACCAAUGAGCUUAAUCCCUUGGUCACAAAGACCACCCCACAUAGCUGAAGGGACCCAGCAGAGCAUUCAACAAGCAGCUCAAAAACCCUAAAUGGUUUGUCCAUUUGCCCCUAACGUCUUGUCGCGCCUGAUUGUUUUCUAUCAGAAGGUAUUGCUCAUGUAUAUUUGUAUGUAGGGAUUGAAAAUGGUAUGCCUUCCAUUUAGACUCCCUACAUACAAAUAUACAUGAGCAAUA
rnacentral:misc_RNA from 1 species